AAUCAAAGAAGUGGCUUCCAUCACCUUUGUCAUCAUCUAUCGGUUAGAAGCAAGUCACAGGUCUUGCCCACACUCAGUGAGAGGGAUUACAUGAAUGUGUGACCACCAGGAGAUGGUAACAAUUGGGGUCAUGAGGGGAUAUGACUGCUACAAUCUCCCAUCAUCAAAAACAAAAACAGGAAUCUGGCUGCUCCUCCUUGCUGUCUUUUGCUCAUGAAGCUGCCUAAAGGGUGACUCAGCACUAUGCAACUUCCAGGUACCAACUGUGAGAUGCCAAAGUCCAUCCAAAGGAUGGACCCAAGGCUACUGGAUCUUAAGGUUUCAGACAAGUGUGUGAGACUUUGUACAUGAAGUUGGAGAAUGCGUCACUCUCUACCCUGUACAGAGUUGUGAUCCAGAGCUGGAUUUCAGACCCCUGUUUCUACAGGAACUCUAAACAAGCCCAGCAACCGUCAGCCAACUCAUAGCUGAAGCAGGGACACUGUGCAGCUCUUGGCGCUUGUUCUUAAUAUGUGUUCAGAGGGCUAAUACUCUGUCAAGCAGGGAGGAUGAUAGCCAGAGCAAACAGCCACGGUCCUCACGGUGGAAAAUAACGUUGCCAGAAAAUUCCGCACAUCUGGAAAGAACAGCAAUGAACAGGAACUUGUGCAUUCGUGCUAGGCUCCUACUGGGCCCGCUUCGUUUCAUUUCCUCCAUUUUUAUGACACUUUCCUAUGCUGCUACUCCAGACAUUCCAUCAAACACCUCGCCACGAACAAAUUGAAAGGGAAGGAAAUCUAAAGAAAGUCUGACUGAAUUUCUGAGUGUCUCAUCACCAGAAUGACCAGGAAAACCUGCCAAGAGUGUAGAUUCAGGCCCCUAAUCCCACUUCUCUGCAGUCUCCUCUUGGUCUCUGUGUAUAAGCUCUCCUGCCUUUUUGCACCUCUAAUCCAUUGUCAGACAAACUGGCCUACUUGUGUUUGCCUCUGAGAGCCUGUCCACUUCCUCACGUUAGGAGAAAGAACACAAAGAAUCCUAGCUUUGAUUCAGUUUUCCAUACUUCAGCCAUCAGUCUACCAUCAAGCACAUUUUUUACUGGACAAAUGAAAAGUCAUUGCUUUCAUUUUUUUUUUUUAUUUUUAUUUUUUUAGACUGAAUCUCACUCUGUCACCCAGGCUGGAGUGCAGUGGCGCAAUCUCGGCUCACUACAACCUCUGCCUCCCAGGUUCAAGCAAUUCUCCUGCCUCAGCAUCCCAAGUGGCUGGGAUUGCAGGUGCCCACCACCAUGUCCAGCUAAUUUUUUUGUAUUUUGAGUAGAGAUGGGGUUUCACCAUGUUGACUAGGCUGGUUUUGAACUCCUGACCUCAAAUGAUCCACCCACCUCAGCCUCCCAAAGUACUAGGAUAAUAGGUGUGAGCCAUGGCACCCCGCCAAUAUUUUUGUUUCUAAUAAAACAAGAACUAGUAGUGCACUCCGUCUAGAGCAAGAUAGUGUGCUGGGGACAGGGAGCAAGUAGGUAGGGGAUAAAUAGGUCAAGAACUGAGUUCACAAUUGAGGCUUUAAGCUUGAUAAGAAAUAAAGCAAGUUUGAAUCAUCUGGGUCCCUGGGGAAGCAUUUGUUUAGAAAAAGAUCAAUAGUAAAUAAAAAUACCACGCACCUAGCUUC
rnacentral:lncRNA from 1 species